ACCGAACGCUGGCGGCAUGCCUAACACAUGCAAGUCGAACGGGAUCCUAGCUUGCUAGGUGAGAGUGGCGGACGGGUGAGUAACACGUGGGAAUCUGCCUUUUGGUUCGGGAUAACCGCGGGAAACUGCGGCUAAUACCGAAUGCCCUCGUGAGAGGAAGGAUUUAUCGCCAGAAGAGGAGCCCGCGUCCGAUUAGGUAGUUGGUGGGGUAAAGGCCUACCAAGCCGACGAUCGGUAGCUGGUCUGAGAGGAUGAUCAGCCACACUGGGACUGAGAUACGGCCCAGACUCCUACGGGAGGCAGCAGUGGGGAAUAUUGGACAAUGGGGGCAACCCUGAUCCAGCAAUGCCGCGUGAGUGAUGAAGGCCUUAGGGUUGUAAAGCUCUUUUGCCAGGGAAGAUGAUGACUGUACCUGGAGAAUAAGCCCCGGCUAACUUCGUGCCAGCAGCCGCGGUAAU
rnacentral:rRNA from 1 species